rnacentral:rRNA from 1 species
AUAUUACUGCUGCGGUUAAAAAGCUCGUAGUUGAAUCUAGUCGUGUCCGUUGGGUUUGUCGUUGGCGUUUAUUCGUCUCUGGCGUUAAUUCACGGCCGAUUUUUGCUGGUUUGCUGUUGGUCUUCGGAUCUUCGGUGGCUAGCGAGUUACUUUGAUCAAAUCAGAGUGCUCAAAACAGGCGAAAGCUUGUAUGAUUUCUCGAGGAAUAACAGAAGAGGACUUCGGUUCUAUUUGUUGGUUCCAGAAUCGUUUAAUGGUUAAGAGGGACAAUUCGGGGGCAAACGUAUCCUCGCGCGAGGGGUGAAAUCCGUAGACCGUGAGGAGACGACCAAUAGCGAAAGCAUUUGCCAA